rnacentral:rRNA from 1 species
GACGAACGCUGGCGGCGUGCCUAAUACAUGCAAGUCGAACGCAGUGGGGACGGGUGAGUAACACGUGGGUAACCUCCCAUCAGAGGGGAUAACACUUGGAAACAGGUGCUAAACCGAUACUGAUGGAUGAACUCGCGGUGCAUUAGCUAGUUGGUGAGGUAACGGCUCACCAAGGCCACGAUGCAUAGCCGAACUGAGAGGGUGAACGGCCAAACUGGGACUGAGAAAAGGCCCAGACUCCUACGGGAGGCAGCAGGAGGGAAUCUUCGGCAAUGGGCGGAAGGCUGACCGGGCAACGCCGCGGGAGUGAAGAAGGUUUUCGGAUCGUAAAGCUCUGUUGGUAGAGAAGCGGUAACUAACCAGAAAGGGACGGCUAACUACGUGCCAGCAGCCGCGGUAAUUC